rnacentral:rRNA from 1 species
UCGGGAAUUUUGGGCAAUGGGGGAAACCCUGACCCAGCAACGCCGCGUGAAGGAUGAAGUAUUUCGGUAUGUAAACUUCGAAAGAAUAGGAAGAAUUAAUGACGGUACUAUUUAUAAGGUCCGGCUAACUACGUGCCAGCAGCCGCGGUAAUACGUAGGGACCAAGCGUUGUUCGGAUUUACUGGGCGUAAAGGGCGCGUAGGCGGCGCGGUAAGUCACUUGUGAAAUCUCUGAGCUUAACUCAGAACGGCCAAGUGAUACUGCAGUGCUAGAGUGUGGAAGGGGCAAUCGGAAUUCUUGGUGUAGCGGUGAAAUGCGUAGAUAUCAAGAGGAACACCUGAGGUGAAGACGGGUUGCUGGGCCAACACUGACGCUGAGGCGCGAAAGCCAGGGGGAGCAAACGGGAUUAGAUACCCCGGUAGUCCUGGCCCUAAACGAUGAAUACUUGGUGUCUGGAGUUUUAAUGCUCCGGGUGCCGCCGCUAACGUUUUUAGUAUUCCGCCUGGGGAGUACGCUCGCAAGA